rnacentral:tRNA from 1 species
GCAGUCGUGGCCGAGUGGUUAAGGCGAUUGACUAGAAAUCCAUUGGGGUCUCCCCGCACAGGUUCGAAUCCUGUCGACUGCG